rnacentral:rRNA from 1 species
CCUACGGGAGGCAGCAGUGAGGAAUAUUGGUCAAUGGACGAGAGUCUGAACCAGCCAAGCAGCGUGAAGGAUGACUGCCCUAUGGGUUGUAAACUUCUUUUAUAAAGGAAUAAAACGAGGCACGCGUGCCUUUUUGCAUGUACUUUAUGAAUAAGGAUCGGCUUACUCCGUGCCAGCAGCCGCGGUAAUACGGAGGAUCCGAGCGUUAUCCGGAUUUAUUGGGUUUAAAGGGAGCGUAGAUGGGCUGUUAAGUCAGAGGUGAAAGUUUGCGGCUCAACCGUGAAAUUGCAAUUGAUACUGGUCGUCUUGAGUACAGUUGAGGUAGGCGGAAUGCGUGGUGUAGCGGUGAAAUGCUUAGAUAUCACGAAGAACCCCGAUUGCGAAGGCAGCUUACUAAGCUGUGACUGACAUUGAUGCUCGAAAGUGUGGGUAUCAAACAGGAUUAGAUACCCGUGUAGUC